GAUAAAACCACUAGAGUUUAUAGAGCUAUGGAGGAUAAUUUAAAAUAGUAUUGAAUGCCAAAUUUUACCCUCACUUACUCAUUUAUCAUUGAUUCCAUCAAUCUCUCAGCAAAUACAAUAGAAUAUCCACUACGUAUGUUCCAACCCUCAAGAUAGGCACUGGUGAAAUACAAAAGAACAGGCAAAAAUUAAUGUCUCUAUAAAGCUCAUAAGUUGAUUACCUAAAAAGCGUAUAAUUUAUAAAAUAUUUAUUUUGCUUCUUGAAAACCGGAAGGAGUUUAUAGGAAUGAAUGCAGGAGGAAAUGACACCAGAGUUGAGCAGUAAGAGUGUAUCACAAACUCAUGAAAAAUUUCAUAGACGUCUCAGAAGAAGCAGUGAAAAAUAUUGGUUCUGAGAAGCAAUCAUCAGCCAAAGCAGCACUGUGCAGACUCUCAGUGAAUUGCUGAAUGGUCUGCAUGCCUAAAGCCUACAGCAAAGGCAAGAAGCCCUCAAUAAAGCAAUAUGAAUGAUUGGACUUUUAACAAAGUAUCAAAGCCAGCAUAAUCUGAAAUGAAACACUGGCCAAGUAGAUCUCAGCAGAAAUUGCAGCAAACACAUAAUAUUGUAAUUCCUUUUCAAAAAGGAUUUACCAAGAGUGAUAGUGGAGCAGAACGGGCCAUUAUAGACUACUCAUCUUCUCCAGUACCUUCUCAUCAUACUAUACCAACAUGGACUUGUAGUUUAACCAAAUGGGUUAAACCCAAUGGGGUAUGAGAAAAAUAAAACAAAACAAAACUUCAGUAAUUUCAAUGUCAGUGCUUUUUUCCACUCUUGGUGUUUCUUUUCAUGAGGUGGAAGUUUCAUUAGUAUAAGCCUCUGUUUUUUCCUUCAACUCCUCACUCACACCUAACCUGAGAGGAA
rnacentral:lncRNA from 1 species